GACGAACGCUGGCGGCGUGCUUAACACAUGCAGGUCGAACGGAAAGGCCCUUCUUUUGUGGGGUGCUCGAGUGGCGAACGGGUGAGUAACACGUGAGUAACCUGCCCUUGACUUUGGGAUAACUUCAGGAAACUGAGGCUAAUACCGGAUAGGAGCUCCUGCUGCAUGGUGGGGGUUGGAAAGUUUCGGCGGUUGGGGUUGGACUCGCGGCUUAUCAGCUUGUUGGUGGGGUAGUGGCUUACCAAGGCUUUGACGGGUAGCCGGCCUGAGAGGGUGACCGGCCACAUUGGGACUGAGAGACGGAGCAGACUCCUACGGGAGGCAGAAGUGGGGAACAUUGCACAAUGGGGGGAAGCCUGAUGCAGCAACGCCGCGUGCGGGAUGACGGCCUUCGGGUUGUAAACCGCUUUCGCCUGUGACGAAGCGUGAGUGACGGUAAUGGGUAAAGAAGCACCGGCUAACUACGUG
rnacentral:rRNA from 1 species